rnacentral:lncRNA from 1 species
CAUGCAUUCAGGAGAAACGCCUGAUUCAGUUCUGGGUCUGCUCCAAGUCUCCUGUCCUCUGCUCGGGAUUUGGGGGUCCACUGACAGAUUUCAAGCCACCACCUGCUUUGUUUUUGACCAAGAUCCUUCUGAACAUACAGGGAAGGGCAGAGGAGGAAUGGAAGUCAGAGAUGCAGGGCAGAGUGGAGUGGAAAGAAGGGAGUCUCUUUGAGCCUCCCCUCUGCCCUGUAGUCAGCCUCCGGCUGUGAGGGAUCAUGCUAUGUUCUGUCCCCACCCUCAGGCUCCUCCGUCACUUCUUCUCAGUGUGGAUUACUUUCUCUUCCCAUGAGUUAGACCCUUCCUGACCUCAGGCCUCUCAUUCGGUAACCUUCCACAUAAACUCCAACACACAUUCUGGUCUCCAUUUCUUGGAUCUCCUGAAACGUUUAGGUCUGUAGCCCAAGAAAAUAAGUGACUGAUGGAAAAGGCUGGAUUUUAUCCUGGUCCUGAGCCAGGUUCUCCAUCCUGUGCUCUGACUUCCUGGCAGGGGCACGAUGCUCCAGCCUCCACAUCCCAAGGCCCUUCCUUGCACCUGACCUUGGGAUCUAAAAUUUGAUGCAUUAAAUAAUAAACUGUAUUCUUCUAUGUGACUCCAAAUACAGGUGACAGCAUCUUUAUGC